ensembl:lncRNA
GUCCAAGUUGCCUCUUUUACGGGGAGUCAAUGUAAAGAGAGGCCGUGAAAAGCCGGUGGGCGGGUGGAGAAGCUAUCACAGCCGAGCAGACAAAAACCAACAGCCCCGGUGCCUCAAAGAUCCUCGCGAUGCCUUUUCUGUUGGUUUCUGAGGAAGGCGGAGCUCGUGUCGGUGCAUAGCGAGGCAUGAUUAGCCACAGGAAGUGACUACUGCUGGAAACAGUGCGGCGGAAAGCAGACGGGGGAGACAACUUUAAGCACGACACCAAGGCCUAAGGUCUUUGGGGGAAAGACUGAGGCCAUUUUACAGCAGAAAAAUAGGUUGCCUCAAUUUGCCCGCAGCCCCUCCAAUUACAUCUCACGGCCCUACUUGGAGACCCCGGCGAUUGAAAUGGUAGCGAUGUCACUGCUUGACACGGUAAUGGGACAAAGAGGCAGAGACUCGUCUUCAAAUCCAGACAAGGGAGUGAAAUCUUUUCCUAAGAACAAGUGUCUUCCAGGACAAUUGGAUAGAAUGUGGACAUUUCUAUAACACUGCUGUCUAAUAUUGACAGAGCGAGAUCCCACCCUUUGACAUCCAUUAGAGGAGAUCUUGUCAGAUCCCAUCAACACUGAUACCAUCCUCUCUGAAGACGACUUGAUGCAGCGAGAGGCACAAUGGCACGUCGCACAGUCACACAAUGUGGAGACGAUUAGGACCCAGAUGAAUGAAGACGCAGGGCAGAGAAUAAAAUAUACAUGGCGCUCUCCAACUCUCAUUUUAGAACACGCUCCCAAAACCUCCCGUCCUCCUCGGUUAGGGGAUGCGAAGCCGGAGCGCUGCGAGGUCGCCGGGAACUGUAAAAUGGAUUAGCUGGCAGCGUGGGAGGGAGCCACGGGGACACUGUGAGGAAGGGUCAUUAGGGAACGGUGCAGAGAUGUGAAAUGGAGACUUUCCUCAAUGGUGUUACUCCUCUGGGUGGUGGAGUGGCGAGAGCGGAACAGACACCUCCAUCAAUAGCCUCGAUCACCUCCACGCAGCACGUCCAGAAAGCAGCGCAUGCACAUGUACCCCCCCUCUCCUGCUGAUACCCACUCGCAGCUAGCUACCACAGUAUGUCUAUUUAUAGACGCCGUGUGCCCCAUUUACAAGCAUAGUGACACUGGAUGUGUAAAAAUAAUUACAAAAAAUAAAAGUGG